AUCCUCUCCAUUUCCUUUGAAAUGGAGAGGCUCCAGUACACGGUCAGGAUUUCGUCCAAAAUGAUCCACGCUCAAAAACUGGACACGUCAUUUAAAAUUUUAACACCACACUUAACUAGAGUUCAACGCACUUAACUGGGGUUUAACUCAACCGGGCAAAAAAAAACUCAAGUUAAACUCUUAACUCUCACCAGCCGUUCAAACUCUCUCUCUCAAAUUUCGAAGUUCAAACUCUCUCAACCUCCAUUUCUAGCAUACUCAACUCAAACCCAUCAGCAAAAACAAAGAAAAAACCUUAGCUCACCAGAGAUCCCGACACCCAUACACGCAUCCUUUUUAGACCCAGAUCAGAGAGAGAGUAAGGGUUGGGGUUUGGAGAGAAUUGGGUGUAAAGAGAGACAUUGAUGCUUUUCAGACCCAAAUCGGAGAAGGUUAGGGUUUGGGUUUGGAGAAAAUGGGGAAAGAGAGAAGUUGAUGAUCUUUCAGGUUUGAUCUAUGAAGGGAAAUGAGAUUGAGAGACAGAGAAAGAGAUUUUGGUCGAAGGAGAGAAGAAGCCACCAUCGGAGGUGGUGGUUGCGGUGAGCCAGCCUUGCCGAUUUGGUUCAGACCCAAAUCAGAGAAGGUUAGGGUUUGGGUUUGGGGAAAAUCGGGAAAGAGAGAAGUUGAUGCUCAAUCUCCAUGGCUACCGCUAGCAGCCGCUGUGUUCCGCUCCACCAAUUCCGACCGUGGUUCUGAUUGUUCUUGGCCGAGCUUCAUCUUGUAACCACACUACUGCCGGCGGCGGUGCAUAUAGACGGUGUUUACACCAUUGGUGGCCGCUGGAUAAAAUGUUUUGAAGCAUUCCAUGAUCUAAGACACAUUCAGAAAAGAGCAUAGCAGCUAAGACACAUUACAUGACAGUGCUACAUAAAGAAAAGCUUGACAUAAAAAUUGCUAAGAAUAUGAAGUGUUGGUACUCUGCCAGGAAAAUAGUAGCUCUAUCAAAGAUGGCCUUUGGUUGUAACUUGUAACUGAAUUUUUUCAAAGUAGAAUGUGAUGUCUAAAGAAAGAAGUGCACUGCUGAAAGGGAGAAGAUUACGUGGAAGACUUGGCAUUGUGGAUAGCUAUUGCCGUGGGUGGAUAGCUAUUGCAUUUGAAAUUCAUAUUUGGAUUACUAAGGAGUUGCUGUUGCAUUCAUAUUUGAAUUAUGUUAUUUAGAUAAAGUUAUACCUGAUUUGGUACUUGUAUUUGAGUUUCUAGGAAGUUGAGUCCCUUUUGGAUUAUCUGUUAGUAUUCUGAAUAUUCAUAGGAGUAUCUAUUGUUAUUUGGAUUCCUAAGACUUGUAUUUAACGUAGAAUGCAAUUAAUAAAGCAGCAGAGAAUUAUUAUCCCAA